rnacentral:rRNA from 1 species
GUAGGUGGCAAGCGUUGUCCGGAAUUAUUGGGGCGUAAAGCGCGCGCAGGUGGGUUCUUUAAGUCUGAUGUGAAAGCCCCCGGGCUCAACCGGGGAGGGUCAUUGGAAACUGGGGAACUUGAGUGCAGGAGAGGAAAGUGGAAUUCCACGUGUAGCGGUGAAAUGCGUAGAUAUGUGGAGGAACACCAGUGGCGAAGGCGACUUUCUGGCCUGUAACUGACACUGAGGCGCGAAAGCGUGGGGAGCAAACAGGAUUAGAUACCCUGGUAGUCCACGCCGUAAACGAUGAGUGCUAAGUGUUGGGGGGUUUCCGCCCCUCAGUGCUGCAGCUAACGCAUUAAGCACUCCGCCUGGGGAGUACGGUCGCAAGACUA